rnacentral:misc_RNA from 1 species
AUUAAAACUACAUUAACCAAAAAAAAUCUCAAAGUUUACUCGUCAUAAUAAUAUCAAAAUUAUCCUCGAUAACAUACUCAAAACCAAAUAACAUAAAAAUUAAUAUAAGAACAAAAUCAGAACAUAACCUCCAUCAAUGGAAUAAUCAGUUCAUAAUUCACUCUUAUCCCAUCGAUCAGCAAUCAAUCCUGAGGAAUCUCCACAUCUCCAUCAGUAAUCUCUUGCUGCAAA